CUGAGAACGAUUCUUCGGAUGAAGUCUCUUGUGACUGAGUGGCGGACGGGUGAGUAACGCGUGGGUAACCUGCCUCACACAGGGGGAUAACAGUUGGAAACGACCGCUAAUACCGCAUAACCCGCUGGUGCCGCAUGGCACUGACGGAAAAGAUUUAUCGGUGUGAGAUGGACCCGCGUCUGAUUAGCCAGUUGGCAGGGUAACGGCCUACCAAAGCGACGAUCAGUAGCCGGCCUGAGAGGGUGAACGGCCACAUUGGGACUGAGACACGGCCCAGACUCCUGCGGGAGGCAGCAGUGGGGAAUAUUGCACAAUGGGGGAAACCCUGAUGCAGCGACGCCGCGUGAGUGAAGAAGUAUUUCGGUAUGUAAAGCUCUAUCAGCAGGGAAGAAAAUGACGGUACCUGAUUAAGAAGCCCCGGCUAACUACGUGCCAGCAGCCGCGGUAAUACGUAGGGGGCAAGCGUUAUCCGGAUUUACUGGGUGUAAAGGGAGCGUAGACGGUGAUGCAAGUCAGAAGUGAAAGCCCGGGGCUCAACUCCGGGACUGCUUUUGAAACUGUGUAACUGGAGUGCAGGAGAGGUAAGCGGAAUUCCUGGUGUAGCGGUGAAAUGCGUAGAUACCAGGAGGAACACCAGUGGCGAAGGCGGCUUACUGGACUGUAACUGACGUUGAGGCUCGAAAGCGUGGGGAGC
rnacentral:rRNA from 1 species